UGCAGGAUUCGUAUUUACAAUAAUUUCUCACUUUCUCCAUGAUUUCUCUAAUUUUUCAUAUUCUUCUUGAAACUAUCUGACACAUUAAGCCAUCAAAUUUUUGAAAGCAGAGGGAUUCUUCAGAUUCUUUUAACGAACUGUUCAUAUUAUCUGUUCAAUCAAACGUGAUAAACAAUUCCAGUGAAUUUGAUUCAGUUUUGUAGGUCAUUCUAUUUUUUUUUUUUCUUUUUUUCAACGAAGAAACAUCUGUACCUCAUGUUCAGCCGGAAUCAGUUUGCGCUAAUGGAUUUCCUUUCGAAUUCUUAAUUUAGAAAGCGAGUAUAGUAGUCAUCAGAGACUUUGUUUUAGAAAAGAGGAAAUAUCUAAAGUGAGUUUAAAAUUCCGCAGUAAUGUGCUUACAGUGUUCUUAAAUUAAUACAUUUCCUUCAGAUUUAUCCUUCUAUCGAUGUAACAGCUUUUCAUUGUGAUUUUUAUCUCUUUUUUUAAAUCUGAAUUUCCACAUUUUGAAUUUCAAUCUGAAUUCUGAGAAGAAUUUCCUGAACGCUGAUGUAACGUUCGGAAAUAUAAAAACUCGCAGUGUGAAAAUUACGAAUCUAAAGAUUUGAUUAAUAGAAAGAAGUUAAAGUGAUAUAAAUGCUAUAUAAUUGUGACAGGAUUAACUAUUAUUGUUUCAGUGUUAUUUAAAAUAGACAAUUUUUUAGUUUCAUUUUCACGGAAAUUGGAAAUCGCCCCGGAGAUUUUCGCUUCGCUACAGCGAGAUAAAUGGUAGGAUUCACUCGUUUUAUACGUGACUGAUUCCGGCACGUUUAGGUAUUUUUAAAUUCAACCUCGCGUUUUCGCGUAAUAUUUUGCUUAAAAAUGUACGGAAAACGGGAAAACAUGAAAAUAGAUAAUACGAUGGAAUGCAACUGGUGCAAGCGAUACGUCCGCAUUUCGAUCCUGUUUUUUAAACAAUUUUGAAGUUCACUUGAACAGGGUGGUCAAUUACACGCGAUGCAUAAUUUCCCAAUAAUUGCAUUCGCAUUUUCGAUUAAGUCUGAAAAAGAUAUUGAAGUUAAAACGUUCUAAAACAUUUCUUCUUAAAAUUCGAACGAUUAUUAUCUACGCUAUAUUUCAGGCGAAACACUCUACGUAUUAAAAGUUCAUGAAAUUGCAGCUGAACGCGUUCUACAAAUAAUUUGCAAAUAAAACACGUAAUAGUAUGUUAGGGAACAUAACGUGGCGAUAAAUUUCAUAGGGAAAUUAUCUAUUAGUCCAGAGCAUAACAUAGAUAAUGAAGUAUCAUUAAUAACGAACUUGAACUGCAAAUGAAGUGCAAAUUUUGAAAAUUAUCGCUUUGAAAAAUAGAAAUGGAAGAAGAGGAAUAUCGUCAAAGGAAUAUUGUCAAACGAAGAACGUUUUGUUUCGCUAGAAUUAAAAUUAGAAUUAAAAUGUGUUGCGGCACAUCGCUUUGUUAAACUCUCGUGUCGUUGCUUAAUAUCUCUCAAUUAUCACAAUUUACAAUUAUUUACAUUGUCACGUUAACUUGUUUGGCGAUGACCUGAAUUGAUACGUCUUUCAUUGAUUUAUUAACACAACACUUUGCUGCAAUUUACUGCUAAUACGGACAAUUAAUUUAUUACUCGAGGAUAUUCUUAGAAAAUAGAAGAAACGAUAAAUUGUAUUCUUAAAAUUAAUUAUCCAGAUAUUAAUUAUUGGUAUUAUAGAUACGAAUUUUGAGAUGCUAAAGAAACUGCGUUAUAAUUCCUGAAUUACUUGUUUCAGAUUAUUCAAUAUCGUUUGAAUUGUUCAUACUCCAUCAAUACGCAUAUUGCAACGUAAUUGAUUUUUAACGUAAGAUACUAAUUGGCAACAUUUCUAUCGUUCAAGACUAAAAACAUCAUCAACGCUAGUAAUGAUAUUUAUUACGAAAUAGAAGCAAAAAUGUUAUUGUAAUUAUCUAUCGAUACAAGUUCAGGGUUAACAAUUUCGAAGAGAAACAUAGCAAUAAAUGGCUAAUGAAUAGAAACAGGACUAUCCUCUUACGUUACAACGAAAUAUAUCUGUCAGCAUCGAAAGAAAGAACAGGAUCGAAAUUGGCAGUAAAUCGCUUACACGAGGCAGUUCGUGUAUCGGAAUCAGAACGAAUUUCACUGAAACGACGAGCAAUAAACGAUGAACUCGUGGAAGGAAAGGAGCGUGUUGCUCGUGUCGCGGCUGCUUGGGCCAUUGUGGUCCCAGCUAUCGAUCGCGCAAACCAAGACUCUUAGUCUACGGCUGAGCUCGGAUAACCAAGUUAUCGGGGCGCAGUAAAUCGUUGCCAAGAAGAUAAAAAGAAAAGUAAAACGAAAGAAAAAUACGACCGCUAGAAGAAGUCGCCGCGACGAGUGUGCAAAUUGCUUAGUGUCGUCAAACGAACAACUCUAUACGAAUAAAAUAAUAUCAAAGGGAGUAAAAGAAAAGAAUCAGAUAAUAACACGUGUAUGUGAAGAGAAAUGGGGUCGCGCGAGAAAGAAAGGGUGAGAACGAAUGAGAAACGACGUUUGUUAUUCAGUAUAGUUGUGGCAAUUACCGCGGAUGGGUUUAUAGAAUGACCAACCAUCGAGAACUGCUGAGACAAUGCUUAAACGUCCAGACCGGAACCGUUUACGAAGUUGCGAAGUUCGAUCAAAUUGCCGCAAGUUAACCUGACCAAAGAACGAACGAAACUGAAAUUAAAGAAAAAACGAAAUAAAAAGAAAGACAGAAAAAAAAGAUUAAUUAAUGACAUACUAUAUAUAGUAUUUAUAUAUAGUAUCUAAUUAUUAUUAUUAUAUAUAUAUACACAUAUAUAUAUACAAUGUGCUCGUCUAAUGAUCGUUUUAAUAAUAACAAUGAUAUUCAUAUCGGAGAGCAAUGACCAAUCACGAUGUAACAUUAUACAUGGCUGUUUUUUCCCUUUG